ACUACGGGAGGCAGCAGUGAGGAAUAUUGGUCAAUGGGCGCGAGCCUGAACCAGCCAAGUCGCGUGAGGGAAGACGGUCCUAUGGAUUGUAAACCUCUUUUGUCGGGGAGCAAAAGACGCCACGCGUGGCGUUCCGAGAGUACCCGAAGAAAAAGCAUCGGCUAACUCCGUGCCAGCAGCCGCGGUAAUAAGGAGGAUGCGAGCGGUAUCCGGUUUUAUUGGGUUUAAAGGGUGCGAAGGCGGAAGAUCAGGUCGGCGGUAAAAUUGAGAGGCUCAACCUCUUCGAGCCGUUGAAACUGGUUGUCUUGAGUGAGCGAGAAGUAUGCGGAAUGCGUGGUGUAGCGGUGAAAUGCAUAGAUAUCACGCAGAACUCCGAUUGCGAAGGCAGCAUACCGGCGCUCAACUGACGCUCAUGCACGAAAGUGUGGGUAUCGAACAGGAUUAGAUACCCUAGUAGUC
rnacentral:rRNA from 1 species